AACGAACGCUGGCGGCAUGCCUAACACAUGCAAGUCGAACGGGCCCUUCGGGCGUAGUGGCGCACAGGUGCGUAACGCGUGGGAAUCUGCCCUUACGGUUCGGAAUAACUCAGGGAAACGUUAGAGCUAAUACCGUAUAAUGACUUCGGUCCAAAGAUUUAUCGCCUAGGGAUGAGCCCGCGUAGGAUUAGCUUGUUGGUGAGGUAAAGGCUCACCAAGGCGACGAUCCUUAGC
rnacentral:rRNA from 1 species